AUUGAACGCUGGCGGCAGGCCUAACACAUGCAAGUCGAGCGAGUGGCGUACGGGUGAGUAAUGUCUGGGCAACUGCCUGAUGGAGGGGGAUAACUACUGGAAACUGUAGCUAAUACCGCAUACCAUCAGAUGGGCCGAGAUGGGAUUAGCUAGUGGGUGGGGUAACGGCUCACCAAGGCGACGAUCCCUAGCUGGUCUGAGAGGAUGACCAGCCACACUGGAACUGAGACACGGUCCAGACUCCUACGGGAGGCAGCAGUGGGGAAUAUUGCACAAUGGGCGAAAGCCUGAUGCAGCCAUGCCGCGUGUAUGAAGAAGGCCUUCGGGUUGUAAAGUACUUUCAGCGGGGAGGCGUUACCCGCAGAAGAAGCACCGGCUAACUCCGUGCCAGCCGCCGCGGUAAUAC
rnacentral:rRNA from 1 species